rnacentral:RNase_P_RNA from 1 species
GGCGGAUAGAACGUAGCUGCUCGCAAUUUUUUGCGAGAGGAAAGUCCGAGCUCCAUAAGGGCAAGCGUAGUGGGGAACGCCCACCUGGCCUACUCGUAAGCAGGCCAAGGAUUAGAGCUACAGAGACGAGCUUCCCGAUCGGGAAGGUGAAACGACGCAAUCUCUACGCGGAGCAAGGCCAAAUAGGAGGUGAG